rnacentral:rRNA from 1 species
GACAGAGGGGGCAAGCGUUGCUCGGAAUCACUGGGCGUAAAGGGCGCGUAGGUGGCCACCAUAAGGCCGCGGUGAAAGUUCGGGGCUCAACCCUGAAUCGGCCGCGGCGACUGUGGGGCUCGGGUACUGUAGAGGCAGGUGGAAUUCCGGGUGUAGCGGUGGAAUGCGUAGAGAUCCGGAAGAACACCAGUGGCGAAGGCGGCCUGCUGGGCAGUGGGACCGAAAGGUCUCUUCAACCGACACUGAGGCGCGACAGCGUGGGGAGCAAACAGG